rnacentral:tRNA from 1 species
GCCGCUUUAGCUCAGUUGGUUAGAGCGACUGUUUUGUAAACAGUAGGUCUACGGUUCGAAUCCGUAAAGCGGCUCCA